rnacentral:rRNA from 1 species
ACGGGAGGCAGCAGUGGGGAAUAUUGCACAAUGGGCGACAGCCUGAUGCAGCGACGCCGCGUGAGUGAUGAAGUAUUUCGGUAUGUAAAGCUCUAUCAGCAGGGAAGAUAAUGACGGUACCUGACUAAGAAGCACCGGCUAAAUACGUGCCAGCAGCCGCGGUAAUACGUAUGGUGCAAGCGUUAUCCGGAUUUACUGGGUGUAAAGGGAGCGCAGGCGGUACGGCAAGUCUGAUGUGAAAGCCCGGGGCUCAACCCCGGUACUGCAUUGGAAACUGUCGAACUAGAGUGUCGGAGGGGUAAGUGGAAUUCCUAGUGUAGCGGUGAAGUGCGUAGAUAUCAGGAGGAACACCGGUGGCGAAGGCGGCUUACUGGACGGCAACUGACGUUGAGGCUCGAAGGCGUGGGGAGCAAACAGGAUUAGAUACCCUGGUA